rnacentral:tRNA from 1 species
GGGGCCUUAGCUCAGUGGUAGAGCACUUGCCUAGCUUUCAUGAAGUCCUGGGUUCAAUCCCCAGCACCA